GGGUCAGUAGGUUGGUCGUGCCACCGGUACGUACUGGUCCCACUGAUUCCUCCUUCCUGAAGAACCGUAAUGCCAUUAAUUUGGUGUUGCGGGGAAACAGGACUGUUACUUUGAAAAAAUUAGAGUGUUUAAAGCAAGCUAACGCUUGAAUACAUUAGCAUGGAAUGAUGAAAUAGGACGAUCGAUCCUAUUUUGUUGGUUUCUAGGAUUGACGUA
rnacentral:rRNA from 1 species